UACGUAGGGGGCAAGCGUUGUCCGGAAUCAUUGGGCGUAAAGCGCGUGUAGGCGGCUGAGUAAGUCUGCUCUGAAAGCCCGGGGCUCAACCCCGGGAGGCGGGUGGAUACUGCUCAGCUCGAGUCCGGAAGAGGAGUGUGGAAUUCCUGGUGUAGCGGUGGAAUGCGCAGAUAUCAGGAGGAACACCGGGUGGCGAAGGCGGAUCUCUGGGCCAUAACUGACGCUGAGGAGCGAAAGCAUGGGGGAGCGAUCCGG
rnacentral:rRNA from 1 species